GGAAGGAAAAAAGCUGAGCUAGUGGGGACGUGACUGGGCAUGCGCCCGAGUUACCUGUCCGGCGCGGCCUUGCAAUGAAGCGUGGUUUACAGCUCCCAAGACGCACCAGCCACAGGCCUCCGAUUGGCACCCCCACGGGCUUCUGGGAGUUGUAGUUUUUCAGAGCCUUCGCUUCCUUGUCCUGAAAUGACCUAUCGCCCACUUCUCACCGCUCCUGGCCUGAGGGGCUCCGCGGCCUCCUGGGCGAUUGGCCGAGUCACGGCUGGGUCUGGCCUCUAAGGCAGGGAACUGAAGGGCAGCCAUCGCGGAGCAGACAGUCGCUACGGCCCUGCCACUGCACAUAAUAGUGGAGCUCCAGGAGUGGGAAAAGAAGAAAAGCUGUCAUGCAAGCAUCCUUGAUAGAGGGUCAAUUUCUUUGUCAAGUCUCGAGCUGAUGACUGGAUUUUUACACAUACUUGACAAUACAGUCCAAACACAACGGAAAUCAACUACAAAGUGAAAUUGCGCGUCUCAUGAAAGAUCAUUUUAUGAGAUUGAUGAAAGAAGGCCAAUGAGCUUAGUCCACAGUGAAAGAGGGGAAAAGACAUUGACAUUGAAGAGAUGCAGCUCCACAUGUAUGAAAUGACACCUGUAUGAAGUCUUUCAUUGUUGCAUUAUUUGUUCAGCAAAAGGUACCUGGUUAAAUAAACGAUGGUAUGAUAAGAGCGGGAAAAACAAAUAAGGAAGAUCUCUAUGUGCUAAUAUGAAAAGAGCUUUAGGAUGUAUUGUAUGCAGGCCUCUCACUGCUGUGGCCUCUCCCGUUGCGGAGCACAGGCUCCGGACGCGCAGGCUCAGUGGCCAUGGCUCACGGGCCCAGCCGCUCCACGACAUGUGGGAUCUUCCCGGACCGGGGCACGAACCUGUGUCCCCUGCAUCGGCAGGCGGACUCUCAACCACUGCACCACCAGGGAAGCCCUCUCCAAAACUUUUGAUAAAAGUCUGCACACACCUCCCACGUGGUAGUAGGUUAAAAGCAAAGUGCUUCUAGGAUGGUAGGUUGCCACAGUUGAUGACGUCAGGUGGUAGGUAAUCCAGGCCACUUUCCUAUGUGGAUGAGAUAAAUUACAUGCACAGAGAAUGUGAUUGUUUUCCAGGGUCAACUGGGUAACCAGACAGUAUUGCCAGAAAGCUAGGCCUUUUUGGCCAAUGAUAGGUGUUCCAGGGCAGGUUAUAGUUUCUCCCACUGUGCAUGGAGUCACUUUAGAAAAAAUAGAACCACACCUCCCCAUGUCUCCCCACAUCUCAUCAUACCUGACCACACCUCCCCAUGUCUCCCCACGUCUCACCAUACCUGACCACACCUCACCACGCCUCCCCACACCUCAUCUCAUAAUAGCUCACUACCCUCACCUCUCCCCACACCACCAGGAGAAGGCUGCCUCAUGCUGAGAUGGGCACUUGGAAGUGAGUUCUGCAGCACUCAGGCAAGCUGUGGAGCCAACAGGCAGGAAGAGAAUGGAAGCAACCCCAGUAACAGCAGUCAAACGCGGGCACAGAGUACACCCUAAUAGGAAAAGAUGCAGGACAAAGUGUAUGCCAGAGGGAGGGACCAAAAAGCAGGAUGGAUAAAACAGGAAAGGAAGGGGAGGGGAAAAUAUAGAAACAAAGUGAAUUUGUAAAAAAACUUUACCCUAAGGUCAAGAACACCUUGGUGCUAGUGGCAGGAACUGACACCCUGCCUCUCUGGGUGGGUGUUUACGUUCUCUUAAGGCACCAACCAAGAAGGAUAGAGUUACUGCAAGUACUGCAAUGGCUUUAAUGAUACCUACAUCAAAGAAGUAAUCUAAGAGGAUAAAAUGAAAAACAAAGGACUUGGGACUUUAAGUAGUGGAGUCAUAUAUUUUAUCUAGUUGGAUAUAUUUCAUUUAAUAAGUUGGUUAUAAUUCUUUCCCUAUUACAUUAAGUUGUUUUUAAGGAGUCCCUUUUCCUUUUAAAACUUUUCCACUUAAGAAUACGAACACAUUGUUGCUUGAUUCUGAAAUAUCUGACUCCAGAUGGAUUCUACAAACCCUCCUUGCAAUCAUUGCUCUGGUUCCAGAUGGAGAGGAGAUGACUGAGUGGAUUUACCUGUGCUCCUGGAAACCUGGGCAGAGAGAAGAAUGGAAUGAAAGCUGCUGAAUUAAACUCAGAAUAGGGAUGAUUUAUAAGCGUAUCUUCUGUUGUGGAAUAGAUACGUAAGGGGAAAUCUAUUUUGUGUUGUCAAACAAAUUAGUAAUUAAAACUGAUUCCUGGUCAUUGAU